rnacentral:rRNA from 1 species
GAUGAACGCUGACAGAAUGCUUAACACAUGCAGGUCUACUUGAAUUUGGGUUUUUUAACUUAGAUUUGGGUGGCGGACGGGUGAGUAACGCGUAAAGAACUUGCCUCACAGCUAGGGACAACAUUUGGAAACGAAUGCUAAUACCUGAUAUUAUGAUUAUAAGGCAUCUUAGAAUUAUGAAAGCUAUAUGCGCUGUGAGAGAGCUUUGCGUCCCAUUAGCUAGUUGGAGAGGUAACGGCUCACCAAGGCGAUGAUGGGUAGCCGGCCUGAGAGGGUGAACGGCCACAAGGGGACUGAGACACGGCCCUUACUCCUACGGGAGGCAGCAGUGGGGAAUAUUGGACAAUGGACCAAGAGUCUGAUCCAGCAAUUCUGUGUGCACGAUGACGUUUUUCGGAAUGUAAAGUGCUUUCAGUUGGGAAGAAAAAAAUGACGGCACCAACAGAAGAAGUGACGGCUAAAUACGUG